rnacentral:rRNA from 1 species
UGAGCAAUCUGCCCUUCUCUUCGGAAUAAGCGUUGGAAACGACGUCUAAUGCCGAAUACGACCUCCUUUCGCAUGAUCGGAGGUGGAAAGCUCCGGCGGAGAAGGAUGAGCUCGCGGCCUAUCAGCUAGUUGGUGGGGUAAUGGCUCACCAAGGCGACGACGGGUAGCUGGUCUGAGAGGAUGGCCAGCCACAUUGGGACUGAGACACGGCCCAGACCUCUACGGGAGG